CAUGCAAGUUCGAACGCUUUGUGGUUCAACUGAUUUGAAGAAGCUUGCUCAGAUAUGACGAUUGGACAUUGCAAAGAGUUGGCGAACGGGUGAGUAACACGUGGGAAACCUACCUCUUAGCAGGGGAUAACAUUUGGAAACAGAUGCUAAUACCGUAUAACAAUGACAACCGCAUGGUUGUUAUUUAAAAGAUGGUUCUGCUAUCACUAAGAGAUGGUCCCGCGGUGCAUUAGCUAGUUGGUAAGGUAAUGGCUUACCAAGGCGAUGAUGCAUAGCCGAGUUGAGAGACUGAUCGGCCACAAUGGGACUGAGACACGGCCCAUACUCCUACGGGAGGCAGCAGUAGGGAAUCUUCCACAAUGGGCGAAAGCCUGAUGGAGCAACGCCGCGUGUGUGAUGAAGGGUUUCGGCUCGUAAAACACUGUUGUAAGAGAAGAAUGACAUUGAGAGUAACUGUUCAAUGUGUGACGGUAUCUUACCAGAAAGGAACGGCUAAAUACGUGCCAGCAGCCGCGGUAAUACGUAUGUUCCAAGCGUUAUCCGGAUUUAUUGGGCGUAAAGCGAGCGCAGACGGUUAUUUAAGUCUGAAGUGAAAGCCCUCAGCUCAACUGAGGAAUUGCUUUGGAAACUGGAUGACUUGAGUGCAGUAGAGGAAAGUGGAACUCCAUGUGUAGCGGUGAAAUGCGUAGAUAUAUGGAAGAACACCAGUGGCGAAGGCGGCUUUCUGGACUGUAACUGACGUUGAGGCUCGAAAGUGUGGGUAGCAAACAGGAUUAGAUACCCUGGUAGUCCACACCGUAAACGAUGAGUGCUAGGUGUUUGAGGGUUUCCGCCCUUAAGUGCCGCAGCUAACGCAUUAAGCACUCCGCCUGGGGAGUACGACCGCAAGGUUGAAACUCAAAGGAAUUGACGGGGACCCGCACAAGCGGUGGAGCAUGUGGUUUAAUUCGAAGCAACGCGAAGAACCUUACCAGGUCUUGACAUCCCUUGACAACUCCAGAGAUGGAGUGUUCCCUUCGGGGACAAGGUGACAGGUGGUGCAUGGUUGUCGUCAGCUCGUGUCGUGAGAUGUUGGGUUAAGUCCCGCAACGAGCGCAACCCUUAUUACUAGUUGCCAGCAUUCAGUUGGGCACUCUAGUGAGACUGCCGGUGACAAACCGGAGGAAGGUGGGGAUGACGUCAAAUCAUCAUGCCCCUUAUGACCUGGGCUACACACGUGCUACAAUGGCGUAUACAACGAGUUGCCAACCCGCGAGGGUGAGCUAAUCUCUUAAAGUACGUCUCAGUUCGGAUUGUAGGCUGCAACUCGCCUACAUGAAGUCGGAAUCGCUAGUAAUCGCGGAUCAGCACGCCGCGGUGAAUACGUUCCCGGGUCUUGUACACACCGCCCGUCACACCAUGAGAGUUUGUAACACCCAAAGCCGGUGGGGUAACCUUCGGGAGCCAGCCGUCUAAGUGGGAC
rnacentral:rRNA from 1 species